rnacentral:rRNA from 1 species
AUUGAACGCUGGCGGCAGGCCUAACACAUGCAAGUCGAGCGGAUGAAGGGAGCUUGCUCCUGGAUUCAGCGGCGGACGGGUGAGUAAUGCCUAGGAAUCUGCCUGGUAGUGGGGGAUAACGUCCGGAAACGGGCGCUAAUACCGCAUACGUCCUGAGGGAGAAAGUGGGGGAUCUUCGGACCUCACGCUAUCAGAUGAGCCUAGGUCGGAGUAGCUAGUUGAUGGGGUAAAGGCCUACCAAGGCGACGAUCCGUAACUGGUCUGAGAGGAUGAUCAGUCACACUGGAACUGAGACACGGUCCAGACUCCUACGGGAGGCAGCAGUGGGGAAUGUUGGACAGUGGGCGAAAGCCUGAUCCAGCCAUGCCGAGUGUGUGAAGAAGGUCUUCGGAUUGUAAAGCACUUUAAGUUGGGAGGAAGGGCAGUAAGUUAAUACCUUGCUGUUUUGACGUUACCAACAGAAUAAGCACCGGCUAACUUCGUG